rnacentral:rRNA from 1 species
GACGAACGCUGGCGGCGUGCCUAAUACAUGCAAGUCGAGCGGGGCUCUUUGCUGGAAGCCUUCGGGCGGAAGGCUUGGAGCCUAGCGGCGGACGGGUGAGUAACGCGUGGGUAACCUGUCCUGAAGUACGGGAUAACAGUUCGAAAGGGCUGCUAAUACCGUAUGUGGUCAAAGAGAGUUCGCUUUCUUUGACUAAAGGUGAAAACCGCUUCAGGGUGGGCCCGCGUCCCAUUAGCUAGUUGGUGGGGUAAUGGCCUACCAAGGCGACGAUGGGUAGCCGGCCUGAGAGGGUGACCGGCCACACUGGGACUGAGACACGGCCCAGACUCCUACGGGAGGCAGCAGUAGGGAAUCUUGCGCAAUGGGGGAAACCCUGACGCAGCGACGCCGCGCGAGUGAAGAAGGCCUUCGGGUCGUAAAGCUCUGUCCUUCGGGAAGAUAAUGACGGUACCGGAGGAGGAAGCCCCGGCUAACUACGUGCCAGCAGCCGCGGUAAUACGUAGGGGGCAAGCCGUUGUCCGGAAUUAUUGGGCCGUAAAGGGUGCGUAAGGCGGCUAUUAA